GACUCUGUAGAACUACGGGCGUGGCCCUUGGGUCUCCUGGCCUGGCUACCAACAUGCCUGUGGCUUCUCAUUGGGCCCCGUGAGUGCUGGCAGGGCUGUGAAGCAGGUGUGACUAAUGGGUCAGCUCCCCGCUGGGACUGUGACCCUGAAGCUAACAAACCUAAGGGCAAGGCCAGGCGCAGCAGCUUUCUGAGUCUCUUCUGAAGUGGCUUGAAGUCGAUACUGUGUGUGUAUGUAAGAUCUAGCCUGAAGGAAGGCGCUUUGUUCAGUUGCUAACUUAUUUUCUUGGUGCUCAGCCAGACAGUCAAAAGGAGAGCAACUUAGCAGAAGAUUUUGGUCUAGCUGAGGAUUCAGAUCACUGAAGAACUUAAGUUUAGGCUGUUAAACAAAAUUAUGGGAGCCCGUUAUUUUGGACUGAACUCCUGUACUAGGCCCCAACAGACGAGACCAAACCAAAAUGGAGUCAUUCAUGCUAAAUGCCUCAUCAUCAAAUAGAAGCUUUAAGGAAGCAGAUAGAUCCAACAUAGACUAGUUUUUCUUGAGAACAGAAGAUUCCAGUCUACCUGUGUCAGUGCAAUAAGGAAGUCCUCUCUGCUUUAAUUUUUACACAAAAAGUAACCUCAUGUUAGCCAAUCCGACUUAAAAAAUUUUUUUUCCUAUUUCCUUGUUCUCACCUUACAAAACCCACUGUUCUGCUGCUGUCCAGCAGGAACCCUCAUGCUAUUUUGUAGAAUGGAAGCUGCCCUGAUUCAUGAAUUGCAAAUAAAAGCCAAUUAGAUCUAUAACUAUAUUUGUUGGAAUUUUGUCUUUUGACAAGACCAACUGGACCUUCCCUUUCUUGGUUAAAAUCUGCAAGACUCUUCUUCCUUGGUCACACUGGACAAUUGGCUUGUUAGAGCUGCAGUCAGGGGAACCUGGGAGAGACUCACCUUGCGAAGAAGACAAAGGCCACAGUGCUAAUGGUGGUGGUGCAGGUAUCCUGAGAUGGCCAGAGCUCAGAGAAGUUCAUGUCAAGAGGUGACAAGCCACAGUGAAUUUACGGAAUUUUUGUUUCUAUGUUUAUGGAAAUUUAUGUGUGCACUCAUGCCGUGUUAUGGACUGAAUUGUGUCCUCCCAAAAUGCAUAUGUUGAAACCCUAACCUCUAAAGUGACAGUGUUUGGAGGUAGGGCCUCUGAGGAAGUAAUUAAGGUUAAAGAGGUUAUAAGAGUGGGGCCCUAGUGAUGAGAUUUGUGCCCCUGUAAGAAGAGACACCAGCCCUCACUAUUUCUCCCUGUCCCUCUCUCUUUCUGUCUGUCUUUCUGCCAUGUAAGGACACACAAAGAAGGCAGCCACCUGCAAGCCAGGAAGAGAGCCCUCACCAGGGACCAAAAUGGCCAGUGCCUUGAUUUUGGACUUCAGCCUCCAGGAGAGUAAGAAAUAAAUUUCUGUUUCUUAAGCCACCUAAUCUGUGAUAUUUUGUUAUGGCCAUUUGAACUGACUCAGACAGCCAGGAUCACUUAUUUAGUUGUUCAUUAAUUUAUUGAUCCAUUCAAGAAAUUCAACAACUCUCUAUUGAGUGCUUUAUGUACCAGGCACUGUUUUUGGAGGUCAGGAUGCAUCAGUGACAGAAGACAAAAGGAUUCCUACAUUGUAAGCUUACCUGUAGGGACAGUAAACAAUCAACAUUAGAAGUAACUAAAUCUGUGGUGAUGAUACUAUACAUUUUGUGAUGUACCUUAACAGUACAUAAAUGUCUUUUACACCCAUUAUUGCAUCUGACCUGGCAGACCCCGGGAGGUAUGAGGAAAUGAAGCCCACUCUCCAGGUCACAUGGCUGGUACCAAUUAUAGUAGUAGCUAAUAAGUAUUUAGCUGCUUAUUAUGUGCUAGGAGCUGUUCUAUGUAUGUGUUAACUCAUUGAAUCCUAGCAACAAUUCUAGAAGUUGUUUUCUACAAUAAAGGCACAGAGAAGUAAUUUGUUCAAGGUCAGCUGGGUGCAGUGGCUCACACCUGUAAUCCCAGCACUUUGGGAGGCUGAGGCGGGUGGAUCAUGAGGUCAGGAGUUCAAGACCAGCCUGGCCAAGAUGGUGAAACCCCAUCUUUACUAAAAAUACAAAAAUUAUCCAGGCGUGGUGGCAGAUGCCUGUAAUCACAGCUACUUGGGAGGCUGAGGCAGGGAAUUGCUUGAAUCCGGGAGGUGGAGGUUGCAGUGAGCUGAGAUUGUGCCACUGUACUCCAGCCUGGGUGACAGAGGAAGGCUCCAUCUAAAAAAAAUAAAUAAAUAAAUAAAUAAAAUAAAUAAAUAAAUUUGCUCAAGGUCAGACUAUAGUAAGUGCUGAGCCAUGUUCUGAACUAGUGAGCAUGCAUCCGUCAUGUGAAGCUCCUCCUUCUCUUGAGCCAUCACUCAGUUAGUUGUUUGCCCUCCUGGUAGACUGUAAGCUCCUUGCAGGCAGGCCCCCAACUCUCUGCUGCACUGCUUUCUUGGGCACACAGCAAGAUGUCCACAAAGUCUGAACACAUAGGCAAACGUGCACAGUGUCAUCAAGGACAUCUGCAACUUGUAAAAUCUGUUUCCAGACUUUAUAAAUACUCUGUAGGUACUGAAUGAAUGAAUGGAUGGAUGGACGGAUGAAAUCUGGGUCCUUUAGCCUUAGCUUCCCACCACACCACCCGCGUUCUUUAGAUAGUUAACAUCUAUUUCCUGCCACAGUUCUCUGUCUAAGAAUACAGAUUUUGAGGAUGAGAGGGGGUAAUAUAACUAGCUUUGCAUUAUGCAAGAAGGGAGAGUCAUCCUUUCCUUUAAUACUUAAAUAGUAACAAUGCAGGCCUCAUUCUUCAGAAAGCCCGGGAUCACUUCUAAGGAUCCUGGUGAGUCUGCAAAUUUCUAUACAUUCAUUUGUUGUUGUUUUCCACUUCUUGCUGUGGAUGCCUGCUCUGGGUUUCUCCCGCCUCUGGCCAUCCCUGGAUAACUCUGAUGCCUGCAUGGCUGUAGCAGAGACUCUGAAUGCAGGUUGUAUGCCUGAUUUAGUUUCCUACGCUGCUAUAAUAAAUUACCACAUAUUUAGUGGAUUAGAACAACACAAAUUUAUUAUCUUACAAUUCUGUAGGUCAGAAGUCUGACAUGGGUUUCACUGGGCUCAAAUCAAGGUGUCAGCAAGACUGUAUUCCUUCUGAAGCCUCUAGGGAAGAAUCUGGUCUUUUACCUCCUCCAGCUUCUGGAGGGCACCUGUAUGCCUUGGCUCAGGGUCCCCUUCCAUUUGCUAAAGCCAGCAACGUUGCAUUUUUUGUUCCUUCCUUCUGUCAUCAUGUUUCCCUCUGACUACAGCCAGGAAGCAUUCUCUGCUUUUAAGGGUUCAUGUGAUGGCAUUGGGUCCACCAGAUAAUAUGAGAAAAUCUCCCCAUCUCAAGAUACAUAUUUUAAUCACUCCUGCAAAGUCCCUUUUGCCAUGUAAAAUAACAUAUUCACAGGUCCUGGGAUUAGGGCAUGAACACUCUGGGGGAGGGGGAUUACUAUGUAUACCACAGUGCUGACAUCGGUCUUCCCUUCUGUACUAAUAGAACUUCUGGUUUUUCUGGUUUUUAAUUGAACACGUGGGCAUCCAAAAUAAAAAUUACAUCUUCCAGCCUCUGUUGCAGCUAGGUGCUGUCAUGGGAGUAUGUUCUGGUCAAUUAGAUAUGGAGAUAUCAUGUGGGGCUUGAGGCGCUAUCCCUCAAACAUGGGGGAGUAACCUUCUUCACUGCCUUCCCCCUUCCUGAGAAUGUGACCUGGCAGCUGUCAGUCAGGUAGUCAUUUUGGACCCUAGGUGGAUGUGACAUGUUGAAGAUGGUGGAGCAACAGAAUAAAAGGACCCCAGGUUCCUGAUGGUCAUGGAGCCCCCACACCAGUCCUAGGCUGUUUGACUUUGGACUUUGUUUACAUUAUUGAAAUGUUGUCAUAUUCCAUUACCUUUCACUUGCAAGUGAACCUAAUCCUUACUGAUAUUGUGGCUGUCUCACUGAUACAAUGGGUUUGCUUCCUUCCAAAGUAGGGGCACAGGCCUUUAUUUCUCUUUUUCCCCUAAGGCACCGAGAAUACAACAUUGUUAGCUAUAACCAACUUCACUCACAAACUAAAAAUACAGAAAAGAAAAGUUUAACACUGGACAUCAGAUAUCCUAGCUCUGGAAGUCAGUGGGCCAUGUCUUUUCAGGGGUACUUAUCCCUUCUUCCCCCUUUCCUGCUACUGCAAUGCUGGGGCCAGCACCUCUCCUUCUUCCUUAGGAGUCCCCCUCUCUCAUUCUGCUACUCUCUGGCCCACCCUCCAAAAUUGCUAAACAACCCAGUAAUCUCUGCAGAGCCAUGCCAGUCCAUAACAAGGAUGGCCUUUCAAAACAUACCAAUUACAGUGCAUGCUUAAUGUCUCAGUAGACAGCACCUACUUUUGUGUAGAAGCUUCAUUUAUAUCCAUGUGACUAAAAGGGCUCACCAAUGUGAUUCCUCCUUGAACUGAUGGAAAUUUUCCCUUCAAAAUAAAUUCCAGCUUUUAUCACUGUUUGCAAAUGUUAGUACUCUAGAAUUUCCAGCCAUCAAAUACAUAGAUAUCCACUGUAUGUACAUCUAUGAUUAUUGAAGGCAGUAGAGAAAAUCCAACAAGGGAGAAAGCUGAACAAGCGUGGAAAAUGAGACCAGGAGAAGAAGUGAACAGCUUUGUAUUUGGAUGGAGAAGAAAACAGCAAAUGCUGACAUUCGUCAAAAUAAGACAGAGACUAGGGUUGCAACGAAGUUGCAGUGAGAUGAAGGUGGCUGCACUGGUUGUAGAUGGUUGAGAUGGUCCCUGGAAGUGGCAAGGCUUGAGCAAGGCUGGGAGAUAGCAGCAGAACCUCGAUGUGCUGCCUCAGUCUGGGGCAAACGGGCUUCCCCAACACCCCGGCUGGUUGGAUCUCUGGCUUUGCAUCCUUUCUGAUGUGGUUUUCUUCUUUGCAUACCUUUUGCCAUCACUGAUUUGCUGACAUCUACAUUAAGAAGUUGGCCCUGGAGUGAAUUCUGAAAAUGACUACAUGCUUCUUGAAUAAAGAAGAUAGGACUGUCAGUAGAAGAAUUUCAAAGCUCUAAGGGACCAUCCUUUUAUUUUACACUGUGAUAUGGUUUGGCUGUGUCCCCAUCCAAAAUCUCAUUUUGAAUUGUAAUAAUCCCCAUGCGUCAAGGGUGGAACCAGGUGGAGAUAAUUGUUCUCGUGACAGUGAAUGAGUUCUCAUGAGAUCUGAUGGUUUUAUAAGGGGCUUCCCCCUUCGCUUGUCUCUCAUUCUUCUCCUUCCUGCUGCCAUGUGAAGAAGGACAUAUUUGCUUCCACUUUCAACAUGAUUGUAAGUUUCCUGAGGCCUCCCCAGCCCUGGGGAAUUGUGAGUCAAUUAAACCUCUUUUCUUUAUAAAUUA